rnacentral:rRNA from 1 species
UGGCGGACGGGUGAGUAACGCGUAGGUAUCUAUCUCCGGGUGGGGGACAACUGUGGGAAACUACAGCUAAUACCGCAUGACACCUGAGGGUCAAAGGCGCAAGUCGCCUGGAGAGGAGCCUGCGUACGAUUAGCUAGUUGGCGGGGUAAAGGCCCACCAAGGCGACGAUCGUUAGCUGGUCUGAGAGGAUGAUCAGCCACAUUGGGACUGAGACACGGCCCAA